rnacentral:rRNA from 1 species
UACGUAGGGUGCAAGCGUUGUCCGGAAUUAUUGGGCGUAAAGAGCUCGUAGGCGGUCUGUCGCGUCGGCUGUGAAAACUCGGGGCUCAACCCCGAGCCUGCAGUCGAUACGGGCAGACUAGAGUGCUGUAGGGGAGACUGGAAUUCCUGGUGUAGCGGUGAAAUGCGCAGAUAUCAGGAGGAACACCCGUGGCGAAGGCGGUUCUCUGGGACGGUACUGACGCUGAGACGCGAAAGCGUGGGGAGCAAACAGG